UGCUUCUCGCUAUAUUGAAGACCCAUUGGUGGCUUUCGGCUGUUGUCUGGUCUAUGGUCGGGUUGUUGUCUCUUUGACACAUUCCCCAUUUAGAUUCUCAAUUUAACGUAUCACAGAAACAUUUCAAUUUAAAACAUUACCAUCACUGAACAUGAAAUAGACCUAGAAAACAGAUCCUUAGUAAGAAUUCAAAUUUUGCAAAGUAUGCAUUUUAUAUAUGAAUUAAAG
rnacentral:lncRNA from 1 species